UACGUAGGGUCCAAGCGUUAUCCAGAAUUACUGGGCGUAAAGGGCUCGUAGGUGGCCAACUAAGUCGGACGUGAAAUCCCUCAGCUUAACUGGGGAACUGCGUCCGAUACUGGAUGGCUUGAGUUUGGGAGAGGGAUGCGGAAUUCCAGGUGUAGCGGUGAAAUGCGUAGAUAUCUGGAGGAACACCGGUGGCGAAGGCGGCAUCCUGGACCAACACUGACACUGAGGAGCGAAAGCCAGGGGAGCAAACGGG
rnacentral:rRNA from 1 species